UUUAAGGUAUUCCUUCAUCAGCUUAGCCCCAAGCUUUAUGUCUAAUUCACCAACCUCAUCCAAAGCAUUCUUUAACUCCCUCUUAGCCGCCGAUAUCUCUUCCCGCAUCUAUAACAGGGCCUCAUCCUUGUUCCGAAUAAUUUCGACCUUAUCUUCCAAUUGCCAAGCAUGUUCCUUUAAUUGCUCAUCUUUGUAUUGCAAUAACUUGGCAUGCUCUUCUCCCUUUUUCCCCUGCAACUCCACCUUACUCUCACUAGUAGAAAAAAGUAAAAAGGCACCCCCUAAUUACCACCGGUUCAGUCUAAACCGGUGGCAAAAAUAAGAUAAAAAAUGGGCGGGUAAAUGAACUAGUUAUAAUGGCACCGGUUCACUUCAAACCGGUGGCAAAAACACAAAGCCCACCGGUUUAAAGUGAACCGGUGCCUUUAUUAUUACAAAAAAAAAAAAAAUCGCCCAUAUAAAACCCCCAACCCUAUUUCUCAUUCUCAAUAGCCGCUUCUAUCUUCUCCUAUUUCCUUCUCUUUCUCUCUCCUCUUCUCCUCUCCUCCUCUUUCCUUCUUGCUCACCAGUCUUUCUCAUCUCCUCCUUCUCCCUCAAGACUACCACGUCUCCUUCUCCUUCUCCUUCAAGCCCACCACAAAGACCACCACGAACACCACUACGGAGACCACCACGAGCACAUGCAACACCACGAACACGUAUCUUGAGUUAGAUUGUAAAUGAAAGAAUCAAGAUGCAAGAAUAUUGAGUUUAUUUUUUUUAUUUAUAUUGUAAUUUUUUUUAUAUGUUGUAAUUGAACUACUGUAUUAAUCUAUAUUGUAAA